GAUGAACGCUGGCGGCGUGCCUAAUACAUGCAAGUCGAGCGAACGGACGAGAAGCUUGCUUCUCUGAUGUUAGCGGCGGACGUGUGAGUAACACGUGGAUAACCUACCUAUAAGACUGGGAUAACUUCGGGAAACCGGAGCUAAUACCGGAUAAUAUUUUGAACCGCAUGGUUCAAAAGUGAAAGACGGUCUUGCUGUCACUUAUAGAUGGAUCCGCGCUGCAUUAGCUAGUUGGUAAGGUAACGGCUUACCAAGGCAACGAUGCAUAGCCGACCUGAGAGGGUGAUCGGCCACACUGGAACUGAGACACGGUCCAGACUCCUACGGGAGGCAGCAGUAGGGAAUCUUCCGCAAUGGGCGAAAGCCUGACGGAGCAACGCCGCGUGAGUGAUCAAGGUCUUCGGAUCGUAAAACUCUGUUAUUAGGGAAGAACAUAUGUGUAAGUAACUGUGCACAUCUUGACGGUACCUAAUCAGAAAGCCACGGCUAACUACGUG
rnacentral:rRNA from 1 species